UGGGGAAUUUUGGACAAUGGGCGAAAGCCUGAUCCAGCAAUGCCGCGUGUGUGAAGAAGGCCUUCGGGUUGUAAAGCACUUUUGUCCGGAAAGAAAUCCUUGGCUCUAAUACAGUCGGGGGAUGACGGUACCGGAAGAAUAAGCACCGGCUAACUACGUGCCAGCAGCCGCGGUAAUACGUAGGGUGCAAGCGUUAAUCGGAAUUACUGGGCGUAAAGCGUGCGCAGGCGGUUUGCUAAGACCGAUGUGAAAUCCCCGGGCUCAACCUGGGAACUGCAUUGGUGACUGGCAGGCUAGAGUAUGGCAGAGGGGGGUAGAAUUCCACGUGUAGCAGUGAAAUGCGUAGAGAUGUGGAGGAAUACCGAUGGCGAAGGCAGCCCCCUGGGCCAAUACUGACGCUCAUGCACAAAAGCGUGGGGAGCAAACAGGAUUAGAUACCCUGGUAGUCCACGCCCUAAACGAUGUCAACUAGUUGUUGGGGAUUCAUUUCCUUAGUAACGUAGCUAACGCGUGAAGUUGACCGCCUGGGGAGUACGGUCGCAAGAUUAAAACUUAAAUGAAUUGACGGGGUCAUAGCUG
rnacentral:rRNA from 1 species